rnacentral:rRNA from 1 species
AUUGAACGCUGGCGGCAUGCCUUACACAUGCAAGUCGAACGGCAGCACGGGAGCAAUCCUGGUGGCGAGUGGCGAACGGGUGAGUAAAGUAUCGGAACGUGCCCAGUCGUGGGGGAUAACGUAGCGAAAGCUACGCUAAUACCGCAUACGAUCUAUGGAUGAAAGCGGGGGAUCGCAAGACCUCGCGCGAUUGGAGCGGCCGAUAUCAGAUUAGGUAGUUGGUGGGGUAAAGGCUCACCAAGCCGACGAUCUGUAGCUGGUCUGAGAGGACGACCAGCCACACUAGGACUGAGACACGGCCCAGGCUCCUACGGGAGGCAGCAGUGGGGAAUUUUGGACAAUGGGCGAAAGCCUGAUCCAGCCAUGCCGCGUGCAGGAUGAAGGCCUUCGGGUUGUAAACUGCUUUUGUACGGAACGAAAAGGUUUGGCCUAAUAAGCUGAGCUCAUGACGGUACCGUAAGAAUAAGCACCGGCUAACUACGUGCCAGCAGCCGCCGUAA